UGACGAGUCCCGAAUAGGACGAAACGCGCGUC
rfam:Schistosoma haematobium scaffold996_7, whole genome shotgun sequence.